CAACCGCCGUGGAGGUGGCUGUGUCGAGCUGUCGCCGUCCCAGUUUGGAGAGCAGCUCCAACGCCCAGGGGUGCCCACGACCCAGCCCGGCCUGCCACGGCGCCCACGCUUUCUGUGUCGGGGCAGGCGUGAGAGGAGGUUUCCAGACGGGCCUGAGCCAUCACUGGGAUGAUGGGAGCUGGGAGGUGAGUCCGGACCUGUGGACAGACCCGGAGGUUUGGGACUUGGAUAAAUGUUUUCAGAUGCACAAGUUAACCAAGUCCAGGACCCUUGUUCUCGACUCUGUUGAUUCAUCAUGAUGCCCAUCACCCGCAACGCCCAGACUGUAUUUCUGUCACUCUCGUCAAUGUCACAUCUGCUGAUGUUGAGCCUCUAAAUGGAGCUUCUCACAUUGUCCGGACGCCAUUUUGUUCAUUUGCACAUUGUUUGCACACAUUGUUCGCAUGCAGCUGGCCACAUUAUUCAUGUGAGCCCAGCUGGCAAGGCAAAAAUAUACCAAAGUUAUGUUGAUAAGCUAUUUAUUCCCUGUAACCCUGGCUAGUGAGGAGCUAAAAAGAAAUUAAAGCAUUACCUGAAGAGUCAACCAUGGGCAAGAGGAGAGGUAGAAGCAGGCUGAGUCAUCGAGGUCCUGAGGACCCGAGGGUGUUGCAGCCCCAAGGAGGGCUUGUGCGUAAAUCACAGAGUCAAGGGUGCGGAACAGCCCUCCUUCCUAACUGACCCUCCAGGUGCGUGAUGCCCAGACAGACGAAAUCUGAGAAGGCGCCAACAUCCAGUGGAAGGCGGGAACCAGGAUUUGUGCCCACUCAGGAACUGCCCUCAGACCCUCUUCCUCUAGAGGCCAGGAGACACGCUACCCUCUGCAAGCGUUCGGCAGAGGCUCUCGGUUUCCCCUACUUGGCUAUUCACCUCUUUUGACAUCUUUGAAAAAUGAACUUUCAUGGUUCAUACAGA